rnacentral:rRNA from 1 species
AUGGCGAGCGGCUCCGGGGAGCACUUCCUGAGGCAGCUGAGCUCCAGCAACGGGCUGCAGGCCGCGCAGGACGGUUACGGCGGCGGCGGCGGCGGCGGGAGGAGGAGGGGCUCCAGGCGGUGGUCCAAGAAGCGGGCCGGGAGAGGGUACGGCGGCGGCGGGAAGGGGGAGGCGGCGUCGUCCUCGGCGGCCGCGGGGAGGAAGCGGGUGAUGGUGGUGGUCGACGACAGCUCCGGGGCCAAGCACGCCAUGAUGUGGGCGCUCACCCACGUCGCCAACCGGGGGGACUUCCUCACCCUGCUCCACGUCCUGCCGCACUACGGCGCCGGAGCGGAGGAGGCGCCCUCCCUCGCCAACUCCCUCGGCACUCUCUGCAAGGCCUGCAGGCCUGAGGUGGAGGUGGAGGCGCUGGUGAUCCAAGGCCCCAAGCUGGGCACCAUCCUCAGCCAGGUGAAGAAGCUGGAGGCCUCCGUGCUGGUGCUCAGCCAGACCAAGCCCUCUACCUUCUGCUGGCUAAGCUGCUUGGCGCGGAGCAGCGGGGAGGAGCUGGUGGAGCAGUGCAUCAACCAGGCCGAGUGCCUGACGCUGGCGGUGAGGAAGCAGAGCAAGGGCGUCGGCGGCUACCUCGUCAGCACCCGGUGGCAGAAGAACUUCUGGCUCCUCGCCUGA